CCCCUGGUGGACUAGUGGUUAGGCCACAGCACUCUCAUCGCUGCAGCUCAGGUUCAAUUCCUGGCCAGGGAA